rnacentral:rRNA from 1 species
UACGGAGGGUGCGAGCGUUGUUCGGAAUUAUUGGGCGUAAAGCGCGUGUAGGCGGUUUGUUAAGUCUGAUGUGAAAGCCCUGGGCUCAACCCAGGAAGUGCAUUGGAUACUGGCAGACUUGAAUACGGGAGAGGGCAGUGGAAUUCCUGGUGUAGGAGUGAAAUCCGUAGAUAUCAGGAGGAACACCGGUGGCGAAGGCGGCUGCCUGGACCGAUAUUGACGCUGAGACGCGAAAGCGUGGGUAGCAAACAGG